GGAGGGCUCAGAGGAGCCAGAAUGUGAAGGAGGAAUAAGAAAAAGGAAAUUUUGAUCCUGCCAGUACAAAUAAUAAUAGCAGUGAUGAUAGCCCAGCACAGCUGACAUCCCGUGUGAUUUAAGAAUUUGGAUCUCCAAAUGGGCUGAAGUGCAGAACUUUUCUUCACACUGAUUCUCACUCUAAAAAUGCAUCUAGGCCCUUAAUGGAUAAACUUUCUGAGAUCUGUCCCAAGAGCCUGAGCUGAGAGCCCAGGUUGCUAGAGUCCAUGAUGAUGAGGCCUGUCCUCAGCUGAGUGAGGACUUCAGGUCUUGUGCUCAAGCACAGGGUUCAUAAGACCAAGCACUGGA
rnacentral:lncRNA from 1 species